rnacentral:lncRNA from 1 species
UUUUAUUUGGCUGUUUGUACUUCAAUGUCUGUCAUGGCUUAAUCCAUUUUCUUUCCCACGUGGUUACUUCCCACCCCUCAGGUGUCCUGGUCGUCUGCUGUUACUGUUAGAACGGAUGCCUGGGAGGCGACGUUCCGCUGAGCACUGUCACAAAGACUGUUGGAAGACAUUGGGAAGCUCAAACAAAAGCAUGUUUGCAAAGAGGCUGUAAGGUAUGUGUUAGUGGAGCCGUGCUGCUCUCAGCAUCGCUGCUGCACAAGAUUCUACUGACCUGUGGAAGGCUCUUGAAACACAAGUCCCUUCCCAUGGGGUCAUCCAGGAGCAACCACUUUCUCCCAGGGGAGAAAGCACUUUUUGGGAGGCUUUUUGUACUGGUGGCUCUGCCACAAGGAGCAUCUCUCCCAGCAAAGGUCAAGGUGAAGUUUGUGGGGCCACAGGAGGAUACGAGUGUGAUUUGGUACUGCAGUACCAGCUCCUGGCCUGUCAUGACCGGGAGGUGGUUGAUUUGUAGCAAUGAGGUUUGAGUAAGACUGGACAACUCUGGGGUGGCUGUUCCUACUUUUGGGGUGUUUACCAGCUUUUCCUACCCUUCUGAACACAUUGGUUGGAGGGUGCUGGGUCAGCUCACAGCACUGCAGAAACUGAGCAUUGGCCUCCAGGAGGCCCAUGGAGAAAUGACUGUUAAUGGCUUGUAUGAGAUCUCUUCUGAGAGAGGGAUGGGCAUGGUAGAGAGCUGGAAAUGUCUCCUCCAGGGGCCCCACAGGAGUUCAGCAGCCCUAGACCAAGCUCUUUUUGGUUUUGCAUCAAUUUCCCAUUUACUCAGCUGACAUGCUGUCGUGGUUUGAGCCCAGCCGGUAACUCAGAACCACACAGCCGCUCGCUCACUCCCCCCCCCACUUCUUCCUCCCCCCGCUCCCGGAGGGAUGGGGAGGAGAAUGGGAAGAAUGCAACUCCCACGGGUUGAGAUAAGAGCAGUCCCGCAACUAAGGUAUAACACAAAACCACUACUGCUACCACCAAUGAUAAUAACGAUUAGUGAAAUAACAAGGGGAGAGGAUACAAUUGCUCACCACCCGCCGACCGAUACCCAGCCCGACCCGAGCAGUGAUCUGGGCCUUCCGGGUAACUCCCCCCGGUUUAUAUACUGGG